UAAGUGUUAGUUUAUCAGAAUAUUGAGUUUGGAGCUCUAAGGCAUUCGCUUAU
rnacentral:tRNA from 1 species